CUGUAAACCACCCGCGCAGCCUUCAGGAUCCGAUCGGAUAAAAACUGAUGGAGAGAAACCGAAAAUAGGAAUCUGUGUUGAGGCCUCGCCCAUUCUGGAGAAAUGUUGUGACAUCUAGGCAAAACUGCUCCACAAGAAGAAAAAAGCCCUGGCCACUGUACGAAGUCCUUCAUACC